UAAAUUUCACACUAACUUCCCAAGAUAAAUUUUCUCCCAAACGGUUUGAUUAUACGUAGAAAGAUGACAUCAAUGAUGUUGCACAAUCUUUUUCAUUGCUUAAAAAUGUUGACACUAUUAGGAAGACCAUAUGAUAUGAUAAAUUUUAACAUCUAAGUUUCAAAUAGCAAACGACCCUCCAUUUUUCUCACUCAAGAACGCCAACCAAUCUUCAUUCAAGGGAAAAUGACCACAAAUUUGAAGAUCUGUAGAAAAGGGAGAAGAUUGUUUGAUCCAAUUUUUUUCAUUGCAGAAACAAGAAAUGAUGGAAAAAUUUCCCAAUAUAUCUGAGGAUGUGUUUGGUCGUUGGUAUCGGCUCAGAUGGUCGAUAAUUUAGCCUUGAAGGAAGAAGAACUAUCCGACUCAUGAAUAGGAGGAUAAUGCACUUCAGCGCACUUAAACCCAGGUCUAAAUAAAAA